AUAUUGCACAAUGGGCGAAAGCCUGAUGCAGCAACGCCGCGUGAACGAUGAAGGUCUUCGGAUCGUAAAGUUCUGUCGCAGGGGAAGAUAAUGACGGUACCCUGUGAGGAAGCACCGGCUAACUACGUGCCAGCAGCCGCGGUAAUACGUAGGGUGCUAGCGUUAUCCGGAUUUACUGGGCGUAAAGGGUGCGUAGGUGGUCUUUCAAGUCGGUGGUUAAAGGCUACGGCUCAACCGUAUUAAGCCGCCGAAACUGGAAGACUUGAGUGCAGGAGAGGAAAGUGGAAUUCUCAGUGUAGCGGUGAAAUGCGUAGAUAUUGAGAAGAACACCAGUAGCGAAGGCGGCUUUCUGGACUGUAACUGACACUGAGGCACGAAAGCGUGGGUAGCAAAC
rnacentral:rRNA from 1 species